rnacentral:tmRNA from 1 species
GGGGGCGAUCUUGGUUUCGACGGGGGUUGCGAAGCAGAUGCGGGCAUACCGGGGUCUCAGAAGCCCGUUAAACACUGAACUCAAAUAGUCGCAAACGACGAAACUUACGCACUGGCCGCCUAAGGCCUGCCGUUGCAGCAGCUGGUCAAUGGGCUGUGUAGCGCAAGCUACCGCAACGUCAUUUCACAUUGACUGGUUUUCCGUCGGGUUACUUGGCGGAAAGCGAGAUUUAAGGUAACUGGUUUCUUGAAAGCCUGUUGGUCGGCGCGAUAGAAAUAAGAUUUCCAAAUAGACACAACUAAGUAUGUAGAACGCUUUGUAGAGGACUUUCGGACGCGGGUUCGAUUCCCGCCGCCUCCACCA